GCAGUCUGCAACUCGAGUGCAUGAAGCUGGAAUCGCUAGUAAUCGCGAAUCAGAAUGUCGCGGUGAAUACGUUCCCGGGUCUUGUACACACCGCCCGUCACACCAUGGGAGCCGACAACGCCCGAAGUCAGUGACCUAACCGAGAGGGAGGAGCUGCCGAAGGCGGGGUUGGUAACUGGGGUGAAGUCGUAACAAGGUAAC
rnacentral:rRNA from 1 species